GUUUAUUUAGGUGUUUACCUUUGAAAUCUGACCACGAAAUUUCCUCAGCUCGUCUCCAAAAUCGCCGAUUCUAAUCUCCCAAUCGUUAUCAUCGACUAGAAUCGGAGCUUCGAUGGACUGUUUGGAAGAGAGCCGGUAGUACAGAACUACCAGAAUGUUGUCUCCGAGCAUGAAGGCCAAGAUUGUGAACCCUGAAACUAGUGAAGCUUUAUCAGUUAACCGGACCAACAAGCUUUGGUUGAGGGGUCCAACAAUUAUGAAAGGUUAUUUCAGCAAUGAAGAAGCAACUCAUCAACUAUUGACUCAGAAGGAUGGUUAAGAACUGGUUAAGUCAUUUGAAUCAACAGCCGAAGUAGAUGAAUGGAUGUUUUCUAAUCCUAUGCUGACCCCCGGAGCCUUGCAUUUUGCUAAACUA